rfam:Stegodyphus mimosarum contig40276, whole genome shotgun sequence.
GCCUUCGUGGUGUAGUGGUCUGCAUGCUCGACACGCAACCGAGAGGUCCGUGGUUCGAUUCUCGUCGAAGGCA